rnacentral:rRNA from 1 species
UUGAAUGCGCUAUCCUACGGGUGGCUGCAGUAGGGAAUCUUCCACAAUGGACGCAAGUCUGAUGGAGCAACGCCGCGUGAGUGAAGAAGGUCUUCGGAUCGUAAAACUCUGUUGUUAGAGAAGAACACGAGUGAGAGUAACUGUUCAUUCGAUGACGGUAUCUAACCAGCAAGUCACGGCUAACUACGUGCCAGCAGCCGCGGUAAUACGUAGGUGGCAAGCGUUGUCCGGAUUUAUUGGGCGUAAAGGGAACGCAGGCGGUCUUUUAAGUCUGAUGUGAAAGCCUUCGGCUUAACCGGAGUAGUGCAUUGGAAACUGGAAGACUUGAGUGCAGAAGAGGAGAGUGGAACUCCAUGUGUAGCGGUGGAAUGCGUAGAUAUAUGGAAGAACACAAGUGGCGACAGCGGCUCUCUGGUCUGUAGCUGGCGCUGAGGCUCGAAAGCAUGGGUAGCAAACAGGAUUUUUUUUUUU